UACGUAGGGUGCAAGCGUUGUCCGGAAUUAUUGGGCGUAAAGAGCUCGUAGGCGGUUUGUCGCGUCUGCUGUGAAAACUCAGGGCUUAACUCUGAGCUUGCAGUGGGUACGGGCAGACUAGAGUGCGGUAGGGGAGACUGGAAUUCCUGGUGUAGCGGUGAAAUGCGCAGAUAUCAGGAAGAACACCCGUGGCGAAGGCGGCUCUCUGGGACGGUACUGACGCUGAGACGCGAAAGCUUGGGUAGCAAACGGG
rnacentral:rRNA from 1 species